rnacentral:rRNA from 1 species
CAGCAGCCGCGGUAAUACCGGCGGCCCGAGUGGCGGUCACUAUUAUUGGGCUUAAAGCGUCCGUAGCCGGGUUGGGAAGUCCUCCGGGAAAUCUGGCCGCUUAACGGUCCGAAUGCCGGAGGAUACUCCCAGCCUAGGGAGCGGGAGAGGCCGAGGGUAUUCCCGGAGUAGGGGUGAAAUCCUAUAAUCCCGGGAGGACCACCUGUGGCGAAGGCGCUCGGCUGGAACGCGUCCGACGGUGAGGGACGAAGGCCAGGGGAGCAAACCGGAUUAGAUACCCGGGUAGUCCUGGCUGUAAACGAUGCGGACUUUGUGUCGGACAAGCUAUGAGCUUGUCCGGUGCCGGAGGGAAACCGUUAAGUCCGCCGCCUGGGGAGUACGGCCGCAAGGCUGAAACUUAAAGGAAUUGGCGGG